GCACAGUCUAAAAAGGUUCAAACCCAAAUUUUGAAAGGCCAACCUGCCUAACAGUUUAUGUAUUACAAUGGUAACAUGUUUAAGAAAGGUGUGCCAGAGUAUGCCAAAGGUGCCUUUAAUGCCCAAGCACUUAAGCAGCAAGUCUAAUAAUGAGAAGCUUGGUUGGGAGCUUGACUGAGACCUUAGUAAUCAUGUUUUGGUGUUGUUUAAGCAAGAAAAAUAACAAGAGUUAAACUUAUUUUUAAGGACAGGAGUAAUUUGCAAUUUCAAGAUUCUCUGAAAAGGCUAUGUAAAUGUCUUUAAGAGUCUUCAUUUUUUUAUUUCGAGUCCUUAUUGGUUUAGAGUAACAUUAAUCCUCUUAGUUUUCUUCAGCACUCCAAAUCCUUCAUAGGAUUAAGACUAGUUUUGAGAGUUUAACAUCUGAAAGGUUUAGGCUUAAUUUGAGUUUAUAAAUGCUCGUUCUCGUAAUGCUUUAUUAUUUUCAAUCAAUAAAAGUUCUUGCAAUUGUUGCCAUUUGGAUUGUGUGAUGCAUUUCAACCCUAGGUGUGGUUCCUCUUUAAGUGUAAAUCAUAGAAUUUUUAAUAAUUUUUUAUUUCAACCAGAUAUGAAAUUCUGCAAAUAACUCUAGAUUUCAGCCAUCCAUAUUUAACCCUAGUUGUAUUUUAGUUCUUAUUCCUAGCUUUUAAAUCAACUCAAAACCAGUCCAAGAAACAAAGCGUGCAAACUGUCUUUGUGUCAACCAUGAACUGUUCUAUUCUCAAAUAUAUAUGGAUGAAGGAUUGCUGAAAUCAGAAUUCUUUUCUUGCAUUCCACAAUUGCCCCAAAUAAUAGAAAAGACAGGAUGUUCAAUUGCU
rnacentral:misc_RNA from 1 species